GACGAACGCUGGCGGCGUGCCUAAUACAUGCAAGUAGAACGCUGAAGGAGGAGCUUGCUUCUCUGGAUGAGUUGCGAACGGGUGGGUAACGCGUAGGUAACCUGCCUGGUAGCGGGGGAUAACUAUUGGAAACGAUAGCUAAUACCGCAUAAGAGUAGAUGUCGCAUGACAUUUGCUUAAAAGGUGCAAUUGCAUCACUACCAGAUGGACCUGCGUUGUAUUAGCUAGUUGGUGAGGUAACGGCUCACCAAGGCAACGAUACAUAGCCGACCUGAGAGGGUGAUCGGCCACACUGGGACUGAGACACGGCCCAGACUCCUACGGGAGGCAGCAGUAGGGAAUCUUCGGCAAUGGACGGAAGUCUGACCGAGCAACGCCGCGUGAGUGAAGAAGGGUUUCGGAUCGUAAAGCUCUGUUGUAAGAGAAGAACGAGUGUGAGAGUGGAAAGUUCACACUGUGACGGUAUCUUACCAGAAAGGGACGGCUAACUACGUG
rnacentral:rRNA from 1 species